UUAAGCCAUAUCCUUUCUCUUAUGCUCAUACUUUCAUUUGUAACCCUAAUUCCUUGUCACGAACAAUGAUACGCUCUCCCUCCUCAUUCGCCGCCGCGAACUUACCCUCGCCACCCACCGGCGAGGUAGACCUCGCUUUACCACAAAAAACUCGGUUUUCUUCAUCUCCUCAAUUAUCUCUUGACCGAAAGACUAUUCUUUGUUUGUUACCAAACCAUCGAUGUCAAAAGCUCCAUUUUUAUGGUCAACUCCGCCCAUAAAAUCUCUGUUUUCGACCACCUCUGAUCUUAUCUGUGGAGUUGAGCAAUGGAUAUGUCAUCUUCAUCUCUUGAACUUUGAGUUCGGUUAGUUUAUUUCAAUAUCUGACACCGUCACCGGAAACCACCGCGGCGACAUUCAUCUCCAUUACAGAGAUAGAUUCCUUCGAAAUGAAACUAUUGAAGAUGAGAGGUCUCCUUCUACAGAGUGGAUUGAAUUAGUUCAAUUAAGACAACGACACCGUCUCCGGUAUAAGGUAUGCAAUUAAAAUAACUGAUGUGUAUGUCAAAGUCUCUAAUUGAGUUUCCACUUCAUUAAGAUUCUUGAUUGAUGUGUAUGUCAAUGUCUCUAAUGAGCAGAUAAUAAUAACUGAUCAGAAACUUCUAUGAACUUUGUAUGCUUAUGUGUAUGCCAAUGAAUCUAUGUAGGAUUUUCUCUAUAAUAUAUUAAUAUGUGAUUAUAAUUUUUUUCACUUGAGUUACAUUAUCAAAUGAUUCAAAAUGAUCAAAAUCAUCUGUCUACAAUAGUUCUUCCUGACCAUCUUUGUAUUAUGUGUAUGGAAAUAUUAAUUUAUGAUGGGUCUGUAUCUUCACAUUGGUGUUGAAUUCCAAUGUUUCUUGGUAUAAUGUUUUUGAGUUAAGAUAGAGAAGUGCAUAGUUGGUAACCCAGCUUUGCUAUCUUUUUAUGUAAUCCUUUUUUUAAAACUAAUAGUCCUCUAUUGGUGGUGGUAUAUAUUCCAUUUUCUUGCCUCGUAGAUGCUAUCACAUUAGCAUUCAAGAUGUUGUCUCCAAAGCUGAUCCGUUGAAGUCGUUCCCUGUGAUAUAUGCAACAGAAGAUCGUUAUCUCACACAACACGAGCUAUUAAUGUAUCUGUGUGACAACACAAGAAGGAAUACAUGAGGCUCAAGAAAUGAAUGCAAAACAAACAAAAAGGAAAUAAAGAUUUGGUGAUGGAGCUUGUUGUCUAGAUGUGAAGAAAAUGAAAGCAAAUAAGGGCUAUAUAUAUUGUUGAGAAUUUGUACCUUCUACUUGCUCUUCAAGUUUUGUAUUAAUAUAAUAUUAAUAUAAUUUAUUUCUUUUAAGUAA